UAUGCCGAGUUAAAUGGUCAGGGCGAAGAGGAAUCUUUUCCUCUGAUUUUCAGAGAUGCAGAAAGAAGACAGAAUCAAUUAUUUAUUCAUUUAUGGCAGAGUUAGAGUGGUCAGGAAUGAUGAAUCUGAUAUGGGAAGGCGUAAAGAAUGGCUCACUGAAUUUGUUCAGACAGUAUGCUCAGAAAGCUUCAGUCUGCUACCUGUUUCCAUGGGACAUGACUGCACAUGAGCUGAGAUGAGGAUCGCAGUACGUGUUCUAAACUAUCAUAUGUAUGCAUUGGCUGGGCUACCCUGGGAGAAGGAGUCCUCACAAACCUAUGCCUUGCUGCUUUACAUCACACAAAAAAUUACUGCUAACGUAUUAUACAGAUUGGAUGUGUUUCACAUCCUGACCAGAUUGUUAAUGUGAUGAGAGAGGAUGGCAAUGUGUCAGAGGCACCUGUAGUCUGACAAUCUGCUCAGCCCUGAGCAUUUGCUGUAUGUAUCAGGGUUGGUAUUUUCAGUGCCAUAAAACAGCAAUCAUAACAUUCCAGAAAAGGCAGAGAGUCAAGAACAGGUGAAAUCUGCAAUUUUAGGCAAUUUAGAGUGCACCAAAGGACUUUUCAAGAAACUGGGUGCUGAAUUCUGGUCUUUUUGGUUGAUGAUGACACACAGCAAUACGUCGUUAUGUUAGUACCGGAGGCCUGUAUGGCACUUGUGACAGUACCCCAUUCCUGAGGGGGGUCACUGGACUUUUAUUACAAUGUUUUUGAGGAAAUUGCCUGUAGAAUGUUAGAUUAGCCUGUAAAGGCUAAUCCAAAGAGGUUUGCAAAGUGAUCUCCAGAAUUUACAGUUUAAAUUGGAAAUCCAUGGAAAUGAACCAUUUGUGAGAGCUGGGAGAGUUUGAUGGAAGGUGAGAGUUGGUGUAAUGGGGUAAAAUGUGCCAUGUUGCUAAACCCAUCUAUUACCAGCCACAUCACAUUGUUACCCUGGAAAUGUGGCAGAUCAAGAAUAAAGCAAUCCACACUCACCAGCACACCCUGGCCUUUCCACUCUGUUCCGCCUGGUGAACAGUAUUUAGAGAGACGUCGGCACCCUCCACCACAAUCUAAAUAGCACAAAAAUACCGGCACAACAGGACUUGUUUAAGCGGGAUAAACCCUGCUGAUUUUAAUAGUAGCAAACCAUGUAACGUUUCGGGGGCACGCCCCUUUGUCAGACACCUGCCUUGACUAGGGUCUGAAUUACACUUUUUUCUGGCUCCAACGUUAUUCCACUUCUCCAGUCUCUUCUGCAGCACCUUGCAGCUUGGCCAAUACUGACAGAUAUAGACAGACAGCCCAGUGGUUAUUAGCUUUUUAUGUAAAUAAUGCUGGUGUGUAACUUAAAUGAUUGUGUAGAAAGCUACAGAGUAGCUAGUUGAGCUUUCUAGACAUUAUAGAAAUGCCAGGUAACUUGAAAACAAAAAAUGUAGGACAAUGAAAUAUGCUAAAGCAUUAAUUACUUGAGUUACUGAUGUGUAAAUGUGCAAUAUUGAUUAAAAUAUCUUGGGCUCAAUAAAAUUAGUUAUACAUUAAUCACAAUAAUAUUGCUGGCUGUGUAACAGUUUUAUAGUUAUGUCCUUGUUAGCAGGCAGGUUUUAUUUACAAUGAAAUAAAACCCUGACUUUUGCCA